GACGAACGCUGGCGGCGUGCUUAACACAUGCAAGUCGAACGGAAAGGCUCCAGCUUGCUGGAGCACUCGAGUGGCGAACGGGUGAGUAACACGUGGGUAAUCUGCCCUGCACUCUGGGAUAAGCCUGGGAAACUGGGUCUAGUACUGGAUAUGACCUUUCUCCUUAUGGGGUUUGGUGGAAAGUUUUUCGGUGUAGGAUGAGCCCGCGGCCUAUCAGCUUGUUGGUGGGGUGAUGGCCUACCAAGGCGACGACGGGUAGCCGGCCUGAGAGGGUGAUCGGCCACAUUGGGACUGAGAUACGGCCCAGACUCCUACGGGAGGCAGCAGUGGGGAAUAUUGCACAAUGGGCGGAAGCCUGAUGCAGCGACGCCGCGUGAGGGAUGACGGCCUUCGGGUUGUAAACCUCUUUCAGCAGGGACGAAGCGUAAGUGACGGUACCUGCAGAAGAAGCACCGGCUAACUAUGUG
rnacentral:rRNA from 1 species